GAUUAACGCUGGCGGCGUGCCUAAAACAUGCAAGUCGAACGGGAGCCACCCGGGAGCAAUCCUGGAUGUCUCUAGUGGCGGACGGGUGAGUAACACGUGGGUAACCUGCCUGAAAGUGGGGAAUAACUGCGAGAAAUCGUGGCUAAUACCGCAUGUGGAGCCUGAGGACAUCCUUGGCCUCUAAAGAUUUAUCGCUUUCAGAUGGGCCCGCGGCCUAUUAGCUUGUUGGUGAGGUAACGGCCCACCAAGGCUUUGAUGGGUAGCUGGUCUGAGAGGA
rnacentral:rRNA from 1 species